GUACUCACUUCAGCAGCACAUAUACUAAACCUGAAACAAUACAGAGAAGAUUAGCAUGGCCUCCUGCACAAGGAUGAGAUGCAAAUUUGUGAAGCAUUCCAUAUUUUC